UGCGCCUGCAAAGAGGAGAGAUCAGAGGACAUUUACAAAAUCACAGUCCUCCCACGGUGGUGGGAAAAGGUUACUGUAGUAUGUCCUAAGGGGUGAACAGCGUGCCCAAGGAAAACAGUAAGGACAGGGCAAGACCCAGGAAAGCAACAAAAAUUUGGAUGUUGUCUGUGUGGCUGCCCCAGUGCCCGCUGCCUCGUUUCUCAGAGCUAAUCAAGGGAAGCGUAACUAGUCCAGGCGGCAGGACGAGUUUACAACAACUGACAUUCAUCUGCUCCUGCCUCCGCUAAGGGCGACUUGGAGACGGACCUCUGAUCUCCCGGUUCCACUUCAGUGAGCUCUCAGCACGGCGGCUGUCAUUUGCAGACACUGAAGAGCGCGCUAAUAGAAUCACAGCCCUCGUUAGCUACUGAAUAAAAGAUCAAUCACAGACUUUGAAAGCUCCUGCUACCAGCUUCCAGAGGAAACAAAAAAAAAAAAAAAAAAAAAAAGAGUGUGAGCAAGAGAGAAAGAUAUUUAGGAUCAUCGCUGAGAUUCUGAAUGGCCUCGCUGCAAGUUGCUUAAAUUACCUUUUCCACAACUGACUCCAACUGUAAUACUCAGAGGAACUUGUUAAGCCUGCCUUCAAGAGCAGCAUUCUAAUAUAUGACUGCUAGACCCUGGUCAAAAGUUCAUAAUGUGCAUAUGUAAAAAGGUACUAAAUUGCCUGAGGGCUAAAACCAGAGGAGUUUAAUUGUAGCAAAAUGCUGAAAAUGGUCUGUUGAGGGUCCUUCCAUUGGGAUACUGCUGGCUCUAGCUGAUUGAAGUACAGAACAUAAAACUCUUACAACAAUAUUUCCUUAAAUGCUGGGGAAACUGCCAGCAGUUGGUAUUGCAUGAAUGUUGUGGUUAAAGAAAAACAUUUUCCUCCCCUAAAAUAAAUAGAGUAUUAAAAACUGCUCCAACCCAUAAUUCUAAAGCAUGAUGGGAAAAGGGAGGGCUCGACGAUCAUAAAUAAGGUAUAAUUCAUAGGGCAUGUCCAAUCGACUUGCAGUGUAUUUUUACACGGGGCACAUUGAAGGUAUUCAGGCAUGACCUGUGAGGGUUUUUGAGCUCUGCAUGGCUGUGAUUGUGAAAACAGCUUUGCACUGAAAUAACAGCAGCUCCUGGCUGCCUUACCUGUCACUGGGUUAGAUAUACACACAUGGGGAUCCUUGCGAAAGGAUCUGUUUGACUUGCCUUUAUUUCUUUCAUAAAACAAGAUCAGCAGUCCCACCUAUGCACACAUUCUACUUGUUUGGCUGGGUUUCUCAUGCCCAGAAUUCUCUACCAUCUGUAAAUAUGCUCUUUCUUUUUUUCCUAUUUUUUGUUUGUUUGUUUGUUUUUUCUCCCUUUCCUUUCUGGCCUUACCGAUGAGUUCCUCAUUUGGAAAACGGACAGUGCAAGAGCAGCAGACGGUGACUCAGAAUGCUGGGAGGGCCUGUGUCAAAUACAGGAUGCCCAGGAGAAGCUAGAAUUGGACAGGAUGUACGUGGAAGACAUGAAGCAAUACCUGGUUGGUGCAGCUCUCUAUCUAAAGACCUGUACUUAGUCAUUACUUUGAAGGAACCAAGAGAACAAGUAGCAAAUCUGAACUGAAUGAAAAGACUUCUUGCUGCUUUAUUUAAAGUCGUGCAAUGGAAUAUUUGCAGGAGAGCUUUUGCUACCUCUGGAUAAUCCUGUUCCAGAAGAACUGUUAUCUGAGAUCCCAGGAAGGUUCCUGAAAGGUCUAUUAAUGAAGACAACAGAAACAAAACAAAAAGGGUGCAGACACAAACACGAUCAGAGAGAAUGUUGCCAUUCUGUCUGAACAUGGCCAAUUCCCUUAACGGCACAGAAGAUUCAAAUCGUAGGGUGGGCACAUAUUGUGUGACAUUUCAACAUCAAAUUAACCAUCCUACCAGUAGCAUCAUUUAAGGCAGUGUUAGCAAAAAUGCUGCCAGCCCACAAGGGGAUGUGCAUCUUCCCUCUUCAAACAAUGCAAGUAACUCUUCAUAAGGGUGAUCAGUCAACGCCACGUGAACUAAUUUGAUAGUUCCGUCAUCAGAUGCAUUGCAAAUUUCAUUACAUAUUUUAAAUCAUGUUAACAUGGUUUGUUAAUGUUGGUAUUCACUAAAAAGCCACAGCACUUUAAAUAAUGAAUGGGCAUGAUAAUUUUUGCACAUAUUAUGAAACUGACACAUGCGGAUAUUCUACCUUUUCUCUUCUUAGAAUCUGUCUUACAUCCUUUGUUAAGAGUCAUCAACAAAAAAUAUAUCAGGAUGUUUCAGAAACACCACAGAUUCAGAAUUUUUUAAAUUUUUUAUAAAAAUGAAUUACAUACCCAUUAGAAGAAAAAAAUACUUCAAAUUAUGUUAAAAUAUUGUUCUAUAUUAGCUCUAUCAGGUAUGCCUGGGACAAGAAUUUAAUGCUAUUGCUUAAGACAGCAAACCAAAAAAAGACAAAGUAUUUUGUUAAGUGCUAAAUCAAUCUUAAAUAUCAAAUAUUUUCUAUUACUUUGUUUAUGCACACAUGCAUAAACAAAAUUAAAUUUUUUUAAAAAGUU